GGGAGCUUGCUCCCAAAAGUUAGCGGCGGACGGGUGAGUAACACGUGGGCAACCUGCCUAUAAGACUGGGAUAACUUCGGGAAACCGGAGCUAAUACCGGAUAACAUAUGAGACCACAUGGUCUCAUAUUAAAAGAUGGCUUUUAGCUAUCACUUAUAGAUGGGCCCGCGGCGCAUUAGCUAGUUGGUGAGGUAAUGGCUCACCAAGGCGACGAUGCGUAGCCGACCUGAGAGGGUGAUCGGCCACACUGGGACUGAGACACGGCCCAGACUCCUACGGGAGGCAGCAGUAGGGAAUCUUCCGCAAUGGACGAAAGUCUGACGGAGCAACGCCGCGUGAGCGAAGAAGGUCUUCGGAUCGUAAAGCUCUGUUGUUAGGGAAGAACAAGUACCGUUCAAAUAGGGCGGUACCUUGACGGUACCUAACCAGAAAGCCACGGCUAACUACGUGCCAGCAGCCGCGGUAAUACGUAGGUGGCAAGCGUUAUCCGGAAUUAUUGGGCGUAAAGCGCGCGCAGGCGGUCCUUUAAGUCUGAUGUGAAAGCCCACGGCUCAACCGUGGAGGGUCAUUGGAAACUGGGGGACUUGAGUGCAGAAGAGGAGAGCGGAAUUCCACGUGUAGCGGUGAAAUGCGUAGAGAUGUGGAGGAACACCAGUGGCGAAGGCGGCUCUCUGGUCUGUAACUGACGCUGAGGCGCG
rnacentral:rRNA from 1 species